UUACCAUUGAAGAGUCCCAAACUAGGACGAAACAGCUGUCCAGUAC
rfam:Trichobilharzia regenti genome assembly, scaffold: TRE_scaffold0007626